GCACAAAGUGGUUCUCUCAGGCAUGCUUGUGGACAAAACUGCUGCACAGUUGUGCAGUGUUGCCUUCUGCAUAUGUUUGUGCAUGCUCUGGUGUUUUCCAGCUUUGGAACUGUUGGUUAAAGCCUCAAAGGGAGUGUGUGAGUCUGCAGCAGCUGAGAAUACAUUGCCAGCACUGGAGGUUCUUGUGUGGUUGGGCAUCUGUCUCAUCCUUGGUGAGGAAUUAUCUAACCUGUGCUGUGGUGUUCAUCAAGGGAAAUUCUUGGAGACUUAUUUAAAUGUUCAAGCCAAUGCAGUACAGGUAACACUUGUCUGUACUUCUGGGUGAGGUGUCAGGAACUGUUGUGGAUUGGGGCCUGCUUUUUCUGCCUGUGCUGUUCUCACUACCACUCUGAGACAGUACCAACUGUCUCUCAUCACUUUGCUUCUCUUUGUAGUAUAACCCAGCUGAGACAUGGUCCUGAGGGAAAAGUGGCUUAAAUCUGACUCCUGAAUGGGAUUGCCCUUGUUCCUGUUGCUGCAGACUCAUGAUCUGGACCCCAGGACUCGAGCAGGACCGAGGGACCACGCAAGUGGUAAGAAGCUGGAUCAUCUUUCUUCAUCUGCUCACUGCCUUCACAGAAUUUGCAAGUGUGACAAAGUAUUUCGUCCCUUUACAGGAUUAGGGAUGUGGCUUUGCCUCUCACCAAGGUGCUGCUGGAGAGUGUCUCCAAGACCUGAUUUAACCUGAAGCAUGCACUUCCUCAGGAGGACUGCGAACACUGCAUCCCUUCCCUCCUGUGACCUUCUCCCACAUGACUGCAGUGCCUGUGCUGUGCUCUCAGCUCCCUCACCCUGAAAUGUUCCUCGUGAUGGUUUGUACAGAGCUGCCUUGGAGCAGGCUUUGCUUUUGGUGGCAGUAUUCCUUGUUGCCAUGUCAUUCAUGAAGAAGAUAGCUUUAUCCUUGCCUUUUUUCCACUGGGACCAGCUGCUCUACCCACAGGCACCAAAAGUGGCAAAUCUUCCAUAACCUUUUUUAAAGCUCUAUAUCACAAGAACUUGGGGGUUUUUGAGAGGUAUAGACCUUUUUUUUUUUUUUUGCUUUUUGCUUUUUUUAAGAAACACCACCAAAUAAAAAUCCAACAAACCCAAAACUGACAGAAAAAAAAUUUAAACCCCCACACUGAACCCAAGUUGGAGAAAUAACUGCAUUGUGUGACUGAUACAGUCCAUGGGAGUACAAAGCAUUCCCAGUCUGGUCUUGCACAUCCACUCCCUAUACCUAUUAAUAGCUUUUAGGCAUGAACAUAGAUAUGGAGAUGGGCAGGAGUAGUUUGCCAUGCAAACAUUUAUCUGGAAGCUCCAUAUUUUCUGAACUAAACUGAAGAUUUCAGUGUAAUAAAGUUGAUGUUUUAAAGCAUUGGUGGAGAUGGGGGGAUA